rnacentral:misc_RNA from 1 species
UUGUGGAGGAGGACGCCGAAGGUGGGGCUGAUGACUGGGGUGAAGUCGUAACAAGGUAGCCGUACCGGAGGGUGCGGCUGGAUCACCUCCUAACAGGGAGACAAACAUUUGAUCAUGAUGUCUGAGUAUUUUCUUAGGCCUUGGUCCUGUCACCUUAGGUCGAUCGGUACCUCAAUCAAAUCAUUAUCCAUUCUUUGGAUAAUGAUUUGAGUCAGUUCCUAAACUUGUCUAGGUCACACCCAAUGAAGGGUACUCCUGGGCCAUUAGCUCAGGUGGUUAGAGCGCACCCCUGAUAAGGGUGAGGUCCCUGGUUCAAGUCCAGGAUGGCCCAUUCGGUGUUGGGGGUAUAGCUCAGUUGGUAGAGCGCCUGCUUUGCAAGCAGGAUGUCAGCGGUUCGAGUCCGCUUACCUCCACUGAUCGAUUUCCUGACAACGAUGCCAUGGAGAGAAUUUUUUGAGUGUGGUUUAGGUUGUUCAACUGAUUGAACCUAGCUUCCUAUCAUUCCUGCUUUUAGAUCUACUAAAAGAACUCAGGUUGAAAGGACGCUGGGCUCACUACAUUUUAUAAAUGUAGAUGUAGUUCAGUAGAACCUUGACAACUGCAUAGGUGAGUCUAGAAAAAAUAAAGCAUCUCAUGGAUGUAUUGUUUUUUUUAUUUUUAAGGAUCCAAUAUUAUUUUGCAUCUUUAGAAAUCUAUAAAUUAAUAAUGCAAUUUAUUGAGCAAGAGCAAAGACUCUAUAUUUGAAUUUUAUUCAAUUUAUAGAGAUUAAAUGGUCAAGCUACAA